CUCGAACCUGCACCUGCAGAGUGUUAACCCACAGCCCUUACCACCACACCACCAAGACACAGAUUAGGAUGUUUUGGAGGUUAUACUUGUCUUUAUAAUUCACACAGUCUAGAAAUAAGAAGUAUCCAUUAAGGUGCUUACUCCAUCAGGGGACUCAAACCCUGGGUCUAAGCGGUGAACAGAAUCUAGGCUCAGCAAGAAAGGAUGAGCAAAUUCUUAAUCCCUGUGAGCUGGGACUCGAACCUGCGUCUGAGUUUUGAUGAUUUGACGAUUUUGUUGAUGGCAGUUAGACUUGACUUUACAACUCACAUGAUAUAGAAAAAAACAUUAGAGAGCAUUAGUUGGACUUGAACCCCGGUCUCAGGAGUGUCUGCCAACUGCUCUCUCCACAUUAUGAUCACAUUGUGGUCGAAGGCUAUAUCAAUCAGUUCAAUAGAAAUAUCAUUACAGACUUAUUAGACUUACCCUUUAGUGAAUUAACAUACAGUAAACAGGAAUUGAACCCUGGUCUCCAGAGUGCUAUCCAACAGUGCUCUCCACUGCACCACUGUUCAAAUGUUUGUUUCAAGACUCAGUAAGAUAGAGCAAGCAUACUAUAACUCUGCAAAUCAUUAGAUGCGGCUGUCGAAAGCAAAUGCUAACCCGGGGAAUUCCCCUUCUUGACGCACAACGAUGAAUUUGGGAUUAAACAAAUCGUCUCAAUCUGGGUAAAACAGGCAAAUUUUCAUAUACCUCUGCGUAUCCCUUUAAAUUCCUUUGAAGGUCUAGGAAGGCCUAUAUUUUAUCUCCAGCCAUUUCACAUCAAGUGUCACAUGUGUUGCGCUGUGAAUGAAAUUCCGCAGACAUUCUAGAUCAUAUAAAACAAUGACAGAAAUCCUAUUUGAACUGGUCUUUCAUUAUAAACAUCACAUCUCCCAGAAACGGUAGCAAAAUCAAAGUGGAAAAAACAUCUAUGAUAUCACAGGGAAAUAAAUGUUUCUACUUCAAUGCAUAUCUUGUUCAAAGAUUUGUGGUUUGAGGGGAUUAUCCUAGGUGUCAUCCAACUCAUUGGCUUCCUUCCAUCCAACUUUAUCGGAUUCGCAAUUGACUCCGACUGAUCUCUUCGGUUUUACAGUAGGCAACAGAAAUCUAAAAUAAGAUUGAUCUCAUUCGUAACAAAUGUACUGUUUCAUGUCCUGUUUCAUCUGCUGUUGAAGACUUCCAUCAUUGGUUCGACCCGUGGUUAAAUUCAUCAGACUUAUCCGUUUCACCGGUUCGUCAGGGCCCAUGAGAUUGGUCUCGAUAAUGUUGUGUCCUUUCCUCUGUUUCUACGGUUGUUGAAUUCGGCGGAACGGCUUUACAUCUGAAUAGUAAUAUGAGAAAAGAAGGUUAUGCAAAGGACUACAAUGACGAGCAUCAAAACAGACUACAGAGGCAAAAGUACAAGAAAGCAAGACAUCGGCGAUAACAACUGCCUCAAAAACACACCCUCUCAGCACUAUAACAACUAGUGUCACAUGUUGUUAUAGUGUCACACGGUCACCAAGAAGGGAGUACCCCCCAAAAGGUCCCCAACGUGGCAGAACCUCCCCAUCCCCCCCUUCAUAGGGGCUGGGGGGGGGGGGUGUUAGGACUAAAAGGGUCUUGCUACUUUUUUGUACAUUGCAUUAAUUUAGUUACUCUGUGACUGUCCCACUAUCAUCUAGAUCUAUAGAUCUAGAUCUGGUUCAUUGUCCAGGGGACAUGAACCAGGAACUCUGGUGACCACAACCAAGAGCAAUCGACCAUCAAGGCAUUGAGCAGUAGGGCCGAGCUCUCUGAGUGGCCAACGACAUGCGUCGCGACGUAGGUCGCAUUGGUCGCGACGUAGGUCGCAUUGGUCGCGACGUAGGUCGCAUUGGUCGCUGUGUUGGUCGCUCGUCUGGCUGCUUUCCGUCGCUGUGGUCAAAAGCUACCUACAGCUCUUUAUGGCUAAUAUUGUUUUAAUAUUUUUCUAUUGAAGUACAGUUUAAAUGAUGAAAUCGUUGGUCUAUCAGUAUCAAUAAAAUAUAUUAGUUGUAA
ensembl:lncRNA